GCCAGGUGGGGCGAGCAGAUGCGAGGGAAGGCUGGGUGAGGCUAAGGCGAGGCGAGACGAGGUGAGGUGUGGCGAGGCGAGGUGAGGCGGGGCGAGGUAAGGCAAGGCAGGGAGGGGCGAGGUUAGGUGAGGGAAAGUCGAGGCAAGGCGAAGUAAGGCAAGGCGGGGUGAGGCGAGGCAUAGAAUGGCGAUGCGAGGCAAGGAGAGGCAAAGGCAAGGAUAAGGCGAGGUGAGGUGAGGCGAUGCGAGGCAAGACGAGGAGAUAGGUGGUGAGGAAAGGCAAAGGUGAAGCGAGGCGUUGCAAAGUGAGGGAAAGGCGAGGCGAGGCAAGGCGAGGCGAGGCGAGGGAAGGCAAAGGCAAGGCGAGGCGUGGCAGGGUGAGCCAAAGGCGAAGCAAAGCAAGGUGAGGGGAGGCGACGCAAAGGUGGGGCGAAGUGAGAUGAGGCAGGGCAUGACGAGGUGAGGCAAAGGCGGGGCGAGGUGAGGCGAGGCGGGGUGAGGCUAAGGCGAGGCGAGGAGAGGCAAAGGCAAGGAUAAGGCGAGGUGAGGCGAGGCGUGGCAGGGUGAGAUGAGGUGAUAGGUGGCGAGGCAAGGCAAAGGCGAAGCGAGGCAUUGCAAAGUGAGAGAAAAGCGAGGCGAGGCGAGGCGAGCCAAGGCGAGGGAAGGCACGGCGUGGCGAGGCGAGGUGAGGCAAAGGCGAGGCGGGGUGAGGUGACGCGAGACUAGGCAAGGCGUGACGAGGCAAUGCGAGGCAAAGGUGAGGCGAGGUGAAGCGGGGCGAG
ensembl:lncRNA